rfam:Gossypium hirsutum cultivar TM-1 chromosome 19, whole genome shotgun sequence
UGUUAAAAUUUUCAUCCAUUUCUAUCGUUAAAAAUUGGCAUGGCUGACGAAAUAAUCAGAUAAUUACACGUGGCAUGCCAUGUGUGCCUUAUUUUGAUACAUAAAGACUAGCUUUUAACAAUAAAAGUUUAUGAAAAUUAUAACA